rnacentral:lncRNA from 1 species
AGCAUUGACCAAAGAUAGAGGAGAUCAAGGUCAAAUAAUAGUAAACAGAAGCAAAAUGAAGAUUAGAAGUUAAGAAGUAAUAAAAUAUUGGUAUUUUUUAAAAUUAAAAUAAUACUUGAAUUAAAAUAAUAAAGAAAGGUCAAACUUCAAAUUCACUUCAAAUCAACUUUGAAAAGUCCAAGUGAAUUAUCCUAAGUUCAACAAGGUCAAACAAAG